ACGGAGUGAUCGUUACUUGGUAAAUUCCCCUAUUUCGGUACCCAGUUAUUUAUCGACUGCUCACAGUGCGCUGUGAUCUAAAGCUCGUUUAGAGCUAGUAAGAAAGGCCCCAAGGUGGAGAAGCCGGCGUAGUGGUAGUGGGGAGAGCAGAGGGAGCAAUAAGUGUAGAACUAAAUUUAGUAAGAAUCAUUGUGACUGAGUAGCUCGAAUGGACGAGACGCAAAUUUUUCCAAAACAUCCAGCUAAGGCGUAAUAGAUACCCAGAGAGCGAGUGUUGGUGACUAGAGUUUGCCGCCAAAUUGAGAAUACCUCACCGAGGGAAAAUUCACGCCAGUACCCGAAGACUAGGAGUUGCAGCUCACCGUUGGAGUGCAGAUUAAAAUUAUAAGAACUCCAGGUACAAAUAACGAGUCUUAAUUAUUCCUCGGGGCAGCGGCAUCAGCCAGGCAACACGUCGGCUGAAGGUCACCGCCAUUUCGUGCUCAGUCACAAUCAUUUAAUAAUUUAGAUA